rnacentral:misc_RNA from 1 species
UACUAGUUUUUUUUAUCCCUCUUCCUCAAGAACUUAAAUUCCUUACCAAGACCUUUUACAGCAUGCUCAGUCUCAGUAUCCUCCUCAGAGUGUUUAGAAUCAGUAUCUGAUGGAGUUUCCUGCUUUUGCAGAUGUUGCAUCCAACAUGAACCCAGUUCCCAUCUAAUGGACCUUUCAGAAGCAACAGGCAUCUCCCCCAACUUGGUCAAACUCUCUUUAAGUACUUGUCGAACAAGACACCUAGA